rnacentral:rRNA from 1 species
GAUUUCUGAUUGCGGAUGCCCGACCCGCCAUCUUUUCGGUGGUUGGUGUUGGCGUGUCCCGAUCAUCCUUCUAGAGAACGAUGAUGGCUCUUCACUGGGUUGUUAUCGCAAUCUAGAUCUUUUACUUUGAAAAAAUUAGAGUGUUUAAAGCAGGCUUUUGCUGUGAAUACAUUAGCAUGGAAUAAUAAUUUAGGACUUUGUUCUUAUUUUGUUGGUUUCUAAGGAUAAAGUAAUGAUUGAUAGGGAUAGUUGGGGGUGCUCAUAUUCAGCGGCCAGAGGUGAAAUUCUUGGAUUCGCUGAAGAUGAACUAAUGCGAAAGCAUU